rnacentral:rRNA from 1 species
CUACGGGAUGCUCCAGUGGGGAAUAUUGCACAAUGGGCGCAAGCCUGAUGCAGCCAUGCCGCGUGUAUGAAGAAGGCCUUCGGGUUGUAAAGUACUUUUAGCGGGGAGGAAGGGAGUAAAGUUAAUACCUUUGCUCAUUGACGUUACCCGCAGAAGAAGCACCGGCUAACUCCGUGCCAGCAGCCGCGGUAAUACGGAGGGUGCAAGCGUUAAUCGGAAUUACUGGGCGUAAAGCGCACGCAGGCGGUUUGUUAAGUCAGAUGUGAAAUCCCCGGGCUCAACCUGGGAACUGCAUCUGAUACUGGCAAGCUUGAGUCUCGUAGAGGGGGGUAGAAUUCCAGGUGUAGCGGUGAAAUGCGUAGAGAUCUGGAGGAAUACCGGUGGCGAAGGCGGCCCCCUGGACGAAGACUGACGCUCAGGUGCGAAAGCGUGGGGAGCAAACAGGAUUAGAUACCCUCGUAGUC